UGGGGAAUUUUGCACAAUGGGGGAAACCCUGAUGCAGCGACGCCGCGUGAUUUAGAAGGCCUUCGGGUUGUAAAAAUCUUUUCUAUGGGAAGAAAAUGACAGUACCAUAGGAAUAAGGACCGGCUAAUUACGUGCCAGCAGCCGCGGUAAUACGUAAGGUCCGAGCGUUGUCCGGAAUCAUGGGGCGUAAAGGGUACGUAGGCGGGUAAGCAAGUUAGAAGUGAAAUCCUAUAGCUCAACUAUAGUAAGCUUUUAAAACUGCUCAUCUUGAGGUAUGGAAGGGAAAGUGGAAUUCCUAGUGUAGCGGUGAAAUGCGCAGAUAUUAGGAGGAAUACCGGUGGCGAAGGCGACUUUCUGGCCAUAACCUGACGCUGAGGUACGAAAGCGUGGGUAGCAAACAGG
rnacentral:rRNA from 1 species